rnacentral:misc_RNA from 1 species
UCCGGUUUGACACCGGCGGUCCCCUUAGAGUCCCCGGCAUAACCCGCUGGUAACUAAGGGUAAAGGUUUCGCUCGUUAAGGGACUUAACCCGACAUCUCACGACACGAGCUGACGACAGCCAUGCAGCACCUGUAACUGUUGUACCCCUUGCGGGGCCUACCCGGCUUUCACCGGGAUAAUCCAGUCAUGUCAAACCCAGGUAAGGUUCUGCGCGUUGCUUCGAAUUGAACCACAUGCUCCACCGCUUGUGUGAGCCCCCGUCAAUUCCUUUGAGUUUUAGCCUUGCGACCGUACUUCCCAGGCGGUCCACUUAACACUUUUGCUUCGACCGCGACGGGGUCAAACCCGCCGCAAUCUAGUGGACAUCGUUUAGGGCCAGGACUAC